rnacentral:ncRNA from 1 species
UGAGGUAGAGGUUGCGACUUUUAUGAGUAAAACGGACGAGACACAGAGAAUGUCACCAACUCCGUUUGAAAGGAAAGGUUGCCGAAGUUUAUAUUUCUUCUCUGGAAAUAUGAGCUGGGGCUGUCUCCGAAAGGAACAGAACUGUCACGUUUACAAAUUACCGUGUAAACGUGGGGUGCUAUCU